GCGGAAGUGGCGAAAUUGGUAGACGCACCAGAUUUAGGUUCUGGCGCCGCAAGGUGUGAGAGUUCGAGUCUCUCCUUCCGCA
rfam:Vibrio sp. 2756-81 Vn_2756-81_contig1, whole genome shotgun sequence.